rnacentral:rRNA from 1 species
AGAGUUUGAUCCUGGCUCAGAGUGAACGCUGGCGGCGUGCCUAAUACAUGCAAGUCGAACGAUGAAAUUUCUAGCUUGCUAGAAAUGGAUUAGUGGCGCACGGGUGAGUAACGCAUAGGUUAUGUGCCUCUUAGUUUGGGAUAGCCAUUGGAAACGAUGAUUAAUACCAGAUACUCCCUACGGGGGAAAGAUUUAUCGCUAAGAGAUCAGCCUAUGUCCUAUCAGCUUGUUGGUAAGGUAAUGGCUUACCAAGGCUAUGACGGGUAUCCGGCCUGAGAGGGUGAACGGACACACUGGAACUGAGACACGGUCCAGACUCCUACGGGAGGCAGCAGUAGGGAAUAUUGCUCAAUGGGGGAAACCCUGAAGCAGCAACGCCGCGUGGAGGAUGAAGGUUUUAGGAUUGUAAACUCCUUUUGUUAGAGAAGAUAAUGACGGUAUCUAACGAAUAAGCACCGGCUAACUCCGUGCCAGCAGCCGCGGUAAUACGGAGGGUGCAAGCGUUACUCGGAAUCACUGGGCGUAAAGAGCGCGUAGGCGGGAUAGUCAGUCAGGUGUGAAAUCCUAUGGCUUAACCAUAGAACUGCAUUUGAAACUACUAUUCUAGAGUGUGGGAGAGGUAGGUGGAAUUCUUGGUGUAGGGGUAAAAUCCGUAGAGAUCAAGAGGAAUACUCAUUGCGAAGGCGACCUGCUGGAACAUUACUGACGCUGAUUGCGCGAAAGCGUGGGGAGCAAACAGGAUUAGAUACCCUGGUAGUCCACGCCCUAAACGAUGGAUGCUAGUUGUUGGAGGGCUUAGUCUCUCCAGUAAUGCAGCUAACGCAUUAAGCAUCCCGCCUGGGGAGUACGGUCGCAAGAUUAAAACUCAAAGGAAUAGACGGGGACCCGCACAAGCGGUGGAGCAUGUGGUUUAAUUCGAAGAUACACGAAGAACCUUACCUAGGCUUGACAUUGAGAGAAUCCGCUAGAAAUAGUGGAGUGUCUAGCUUGCUAGACCUUGAAAACAGGUGCUGCACGGCUGUCGUCAGCUCGUGUCGUGAGAUGUUGGGUUAAGUCCCGCAACGAGCGCAACCCCCUUUCUUAGUUGCUAACAGGUCAUGCUGAGAACUCUAAGGAUACUGCCUCCGUAAGGAGGAGGAAGGUGGGGACGACGUCAAGUCAUCAUGGCCCUUACGCCUAGGGCUACACACGUGCUACAAUGGGGUGCACAAAGAGAAGCAAUACUGCGAAGUGGAGCCAAUCUUCAAAACACCUCUCAGUUCGGAUUGUAGGCUGCAACUCGCCUGCAUGAAGCUGGAAUCGCUAGUAAUCGCAAAUCAGUCAUGUUGCGGUGAAUACGUUCCCGGGUCUUGUACUCACCGCCCGUCACACCAUGGGAGUUGUGUUUGCCUUAAGUCAGGAUGCUAAACCAGCUACUGCCCACGGCACACACAGCGACUGGGGUGAAGUCGUAACAAGGUAACCGUAGGUGAACCUGCGGUUG